UGAGCGGCAAAGCUCAAUUUGAAUCUGGCGUCUUCGCACGUCCGAGAUUGUAAUUUGAAGAAGGCGACUUUGUAGCUGGUCCUUGUCUAUGUUCCUUGGAACAGGACGUCAUAGAGGGUGAGAAUCCCGUGUGGCGAGGAUCCCAGUUAUUUGUAAAGUGCUUUCGACGAGUCGAGUUGUUUGGGA
rnacentral:rRNA from 1 species